GCCGGGCGUGGUGGUGCGUGCCUGUAAUCCCAGCUACUCAGGAGGCUGAGGCAGGAGAAUCGCUUGAACUCGGGAGGCAGAGGUUGCAGUGAGCCGAGAUCAUGCCACUGCACUCCAGCCUGGGCAACAGAGUGGGACUCUGUCUCAA
rnacentral:SRP_RNA from 2 species